GAUGAACGCUGGCGGCGUGCCUAAUACAUGCAAGUAGAACGCUGAAGCUUGGUGCUUGCACCGAGCGGAUGAGUUGCGAACGGGUGAGUAACGCGUAGGUAACCUGCCUGGUAGCGGGGGAUAACUAUUGGAAACGAUAGCUAAUACCGCAUGACAACAGUUAUUGCAUGAUAACUGUUUAAAGGGGCAAUUGCUCCACUACCAGAUGGACCUGCGUUGUAUUAGCUGGUUGGUGAGGUAACGGCUCACCAAGGCGACGAUACAUAGCCGACCUGAGAGGGUGAUCGGCCACACUGGGACUGAGACACGGCCCAGACUCCUACGGGAGGCAGCAGUAGGGAAUCUUCGGCAAUGGACGGAAGUCUGACCGAGCAACGCCGCGUGAGUGAAGAAGGUUUUCGGAUCGUAAAGCUCUGUUGUAAGAGAAGAACGAGUGUGAGAGUGGAAAGUUCACACUGUGACGGUAUCUUACCAGAAAGGGACGGCUAACUACGUGCCAGCAGCCGCGGUAAUACGUAGGUCCCGAGCGUUAUCCGGAUUUAUUGGGCGUAAAGCGAGCGCAGGCGGUUAGAUAAGUCUGAAGUUAAAGGCUGUGUCUUAACCAUAGUUACGCUUUGGAAACUGUUUAACUUGAGUGCAAGAGGGGAGAGUGGAAUUCCAUGUGUAGCGGGUGAAAUGCGUUGAUAUGUGGAGGAACACCGGUGGUGAAAGCUGCUCUCUGGCUUGUAACUGAAUGUUGAUGGUCGAAUAGGUGUGGAGUAAAUGUGAUUAUGAUACCUGGGUGUGCAUGGGGUGAUUCCGUAUGGGAGUUGUGGCUUAUGUGUACGUUCGAGGGUUGCGGGUGUGUCGUGGCCUUUUGUUGCGGUGUUGGCGUUUUAUUUAGGGCUAUGUGCUGUUUAAUUGAUGAUGUGCGUGUUGUGUGUGUGUGUUAUAUUUGUUGUGUCUUGAUGCUGUUCUUGUCUGAUGUCCUGCUGUGUGUGUGUGCUGUAUAUGGAAUGCAGGUGAUUGUUGAUGUGUUGUUGUGGUUGUUG
rnacentral:rRNA from 1 species